rnacentral:rRNA from 1 species
AGUGAACGCUGGCGGUAGGCCUAACACAUGCAAGUCGAACGGCAGCACAGGAGAGCUUGCUCUCUGGGUGGCGAGUGGCGGACGGGUGAGGAAUACAUUGGCAUCUACUCUGUCGUGGGGGAUAACGUAGGGAAACUUACGCUAAUACCGCAUACGACCUACGGGUGAAAGCAGGGGACCUUCGGGCCUUGCGCGCGGGAAUGAGCCGAUGUCGGAUUAGGUAGUUGGCGGGGUAAAGUCCCACCAAGGCGACGAUCCGUAGCUGGUCUGGGAGGAUGAUGAGCCACACUGGAACAGUGACACGGUACCGACUACUACCGGAGGCAGCAGUGGAGAGUAUGAGACAAGGGGCGCGAGCCUGGUCCAGCCAUGCCGAGUGUGGGGAGAAAGGCUUCGGGUUGUAAAGCCCUUUUGUUGGGAAAGAAAGCCAGCUGUCUACUACCCGGUGGGGAUGACGGUACCCAAAGAAUAAGCACCGGCUAACUUCGUGCCAGCAGCCGCAGUAA